UAAAGGGUCCGUAGGCGGGCCAAUAAGUCAGUGGUGAAAUCCUAUCGCAAACGAUAGAACUGCCAUUGAAACUGUUGGUCUUGAAUUAUUUUGAAGUUGGCGGAAUGAGUAGUGUAGCGGUGAAAUGCAUAGAUAUUACUCAGAACACCGAUUGCGAAGGCAGCUGACUAAGAAUAUAUUGACGCUGAUGGACGAAAGCGUAGGUAGCGAACAGGAUUAGAUACCCUGGUAGUCUACGCAGUAAACGAUGGAUACUCGUUGUCGGGAAAAUUGAGACUCGGUGGCUAAGCGAAAGUGAUAAGUAUCCCACCUGGGGAGUACGAUCGCAAGAUUGAAACUCAAAGGAAUUGACGGGGGCCCGCACAAGCGGUGGAGCAUGUGGUUUAAUUCGAUGAUACGCGAGGAACCUUACCUGGGCUUAAAUGUAGAUUGACAGGACUGGAAACAGUUUUUCCUUCGGGCAAUUUACAAGGUGCUGCAUGGUUGUCGUCAGCUCGUGCCGUGAGGUGUCAGGUUAAGUCCUAUAACGAGCGCAACCCCUAUCGAUAGUUGCUAGCAGGUAAUGCUGAGGACUCUAUUGAGACUGCCGGUGCAAACCGUGAGGAAGGUGGGGAUGACGUCAAAUCAUCACGGCCCUUACGUCCAGGGCCACAC
rnacentral:rRNA from 1 species